rnacentral:lncRNA from 1 species
CCACUCUCCUGCCUGGGCUGCUGCUCAACGGGGGCUGGGGGUGUGUGGGGCGGGGGUGGUCUGUCCAGUGAUUCAGCCACAUGUGAUAGAUGACCAAGUGACUGCUUUCUUGGAGUCCGCACACCAGUGGAAGACUCUCAAAGUGGUUGUGACCGACUUGAUCAAACUCUAGGCUUCCUGAACUGGAAAAGCGCCUCGUGUGAUCUGGAACAAAGACGUUUUAUAAUCAGAUUUAUCAAGCUGCGAAGAGGGAGUUUUAGUGAACGGAAGCAGCAGCAUUCUGUCACCAGGAAAUACUCCUUUAUCCAGAAUUGGAGGUAUAAACCAGUGGAGUUUAUCAUUGAAUAGAGUGCAGAGAAAGGACCGCAAGAAAGCUGAUCACCUCAGCAAUGAAUGAUUUCAAUACGAUUUCACCCAAAUGGUCUCACACACCAGCCUAGUAAACCAGAGAUAAGGUGUAAUGUCAUCCUUCCUUCCUUCUCCCUGCCUCAACUGUCAAAGAUUGACAACUUACAUGUUGUUUACUUUUUGGCUUCUAUUUCUGUUCAUAAUUAUUAUCAGAAGGCAUAGCACCCACAAGCCUAAUCAUACUGCCUUACAACCUUAUUCCUCUUCAUUUUGUCUUCUCACUUACCUGCAGAAACCCAGUUUAUUUUUGUUCUCCCUUUACCACACCAGCCUUGUAACUGUUAUGAAUGACCCUCAAUCUCACUGGAAUCUGAAUCACUCAGGAAUUCAAGCAAACUGGAUGUUUUAACCACUGUUCAGCUUUCUUAUGGAAUGACAGAGAACUUGUAAAGAUAAAACACCAGUUUGCAGGAAGAAAGGAAGAGAAUGGAAAUUGCUUCUGGAAAAUACUAGUUUUACAAUAUGUUUUGUUUGUCUGCUCUCUUAAAUAAACUUAAUCCUAUAAACAUUUUUUAAGAACUAGCCAUUAAGACUGUUAAGUUCUCAAUUAUAAAGGAAUAAAAUGUUUUAAGGAGGAUUUAUUUGCCCUUGCUUAUAUGAACUGCAUAUUUUUAGUAGGAAAUCAUGUAAUUUAAAUUAGUAUUGGUUAACAGAUUUAACGUAGAAAAUGGACAUAUAAAGAAUACAAGGAUAAAUGUCUACAUGUAAUAAUGGAUGGUAGUGAUAUAAUGCAUUUUUGUCAUCCCAUGCUGAAUUCAGUAAAAAUAAAGCUAAUGACUUGGAGCUUUUAAAAGAUUGUACUGUUCUCUGUGUGUGUCUUUUGGCUUCCUACUCACCAAUCAGUUCUAUUAUCUAUUCUGUACCUGAGCCACUGGCUUUUGUGACCCGGGAAGAGAAAGUAAUUCCACUUAAGACGUUUGACAGGCUUUUAAGAGAAAUAAGUGGCUCUGUGCAACAUGGUUAUGUUUAAUAAAUCAUAAUUACCAAAGGGACAGUUUCUCUUCUCCCAUGUCCACUCAUACUUUUUUUUUUUUUUUUUUAAAGAGAUGAGUUCUCAUUCUGUCAUUCAGGCUGGAGUGCACUGGUACAGAACUCUUGGGCUCAAGUGAUCCUCUCGCCUCAGCCUCCAAAAGUGCUGGGAUUACAGGCUUGAACCACCAUGCCCAGUCCUCCACUCCUUACUUCUGAUGUUCUUUGAGUCCCUUUGCCUAUCAUUAAAUGAGAAGGUGUUGACAGUGGUGCCAGGUGUGAAGAACUCCCUAAUUCCAUUGAUAAGUUUACAUUUCCCUCUCAGGUACAAGUAUUGGGUUGAUCCUCAAAGCAAGAUUGAAUGUUGUGAUAAUAUAAUAAGAAAAAGACAUAUUUGGUCUUCACCCUCAGUUCCUGGAACAGAGCUGCUAAAACUGUCAUAAUUUUCUAACUAAUAGAGGUGAUAGCAUCUUUUGUUAAAGUAUUUGGUCUUAGUCCCCUGUUCCUGACACAAGAGCUUCUAAGAUCCUUGGACUCUCUGGAGUGAUGAGUGUCUUUCUGUAUGCUAACAAGAUAAUGAGAUGACUUGGCUUAGCGGGGAGUAGAGGUGGUGGCAAGUUAGCUUCAGGAUGAAGGCUGGUUGUCAGAAAGACCAAGGUAUGAUUAGAGGGUUGGAGCUUUCAACAUUCAAUCCCACCCCUGACCUCUGACAACUGAGUUGAUCACUGUCUUAGUCCAUUCAUGCUGGUAUAACAAAGUACCCGCGACUGGGUAAUUUAUAAUGAACAGUAAUUUAUUUUCUUAUAGUCCUAGAAGCUGGGAAGUCCAAGGCCAAGGCCUUGGCACUCAGUGUUGGGUGAGGGCCUUCUUACUGCUUCUUCAUAUGAUGAUGAACGGGCAAAAAGAAGAUGAAUGCUGUGUCUUCACAUAGGAGAAGAGAAAGAACACACUCCGUCAAGCCCCUUUUAAAGAGCCUAAUCCCAUCAGUGAGGCCUCUUCCCUUGUAACCUAAUCACCUCUUAAAGCCUGUACCUCUUAAUACUAUCACACUGAUGACUAAGGUUCAACAUAUGAACUUCGGAGGACACAAUCAGACCAUAGUGUCUGGCUCCUGGCCCCCCAAAUUUAUGUUCUUACGUAUGAAAUAUAUUCAUUCCAUCUCAGUAGCCCCAGAGAUCUUAACUUGUUCCAGCAUCAACUCAAAAGUCUAGAAUCUCAUGUAAAUCAGAUAUGAGUGAGACUGAAGGUAAGGUUCAUUCUGAGACAAAUUGCUUUUGUGCUGUGAACCUAUAAGGUCAAACAAGUUAUAUACUUCCAAAAUACAAUGGUGGAACAACCAUAGGAUAGACAUUUCCAUUCCAAAACAAAGCAAUAGGAAAGAAAGAAGGAAUAACAGGUCCUAAGUAAGUGCUAAAACCAACAAGGUAAACAACAUUAAAUCUUAAGGCUUGAGAAUAAUCUAGACACACUGGAGUGGAGGUUAAGCCCCCAAGGCCAUAGGGGGCCUCAGCCCCAUGGUUUUGUUGGGCAUAUUCUAUACAGCACCUCGCAAGUUGGAGUUGGGUGUCUGCAGCUCUCCCAGGCUAGGAUCACACUCCAGUGGCUCUGCAGUACUGGAGUCUCAGAGGCAGUCCCAAUCUUAU